AGAGUUUGAUCCUGGCCCAGGAUAAACGCUGGCGGCGUGCCUAAUGCAUGCAAGUCGAACGGGGUAUCUUUCGGGGUACCUAGUGGCGGACGGGUGAGUAACACGUGGGUGACCUGCCCAGAAGUGGGGAAUAACGAUAAGAAAUUAUCGCUAAUACCGCAUAAGCUUGGUAGUUCGUUCUAUCAAGUAAAGGAUCGUAAGAUUCGCUUUUGGAGGGGCCUGCGGCUGAUUAGCUAGUUGGUGGGGUAAAGGCCUACCAAGGCAGUGAUCAGUAGCUGGUCUGAGGGGAUGAUCAGCCACACUGGGACUGAGAUACGGCCCAGACUCCUACGGGAGGCAGCAGCAAGGAAUUUUCCGCAAUGGACGAAAGUCUGACGGAGCAACGCCGCGUGAGUGAUGAAGCCUUUCGGGGUGUAAAACUCUUUUCUGAGGGAAGAAGAUCUGACGGUACCUCAGGAAUAAGCAUCGGCUAACUACGUGCCAGCAGCCGCGGUAAUACGUAGGAUGCAAGCGUUGUCCGGAAUUACUGGGCGUAAAGAGCGCGCAGGCGGCACUUUAAGUAGGGCGUGAAAUCUCUCGGCUUAACUGGGAGGGGUCGUUCUAAACUGGAGAGCUAACGAGGGCAGGAGAGGAAAGUGGAAUUCCCGGUGUAGUGGUGAAAUGCGUAGAUAUCGGGAGGAACACCUGUGGCGAAGGCGACUUUCUGGCCUGUUCCUGACGCUGAGGCGCGAAGGCUAGGGGAGCGAACGGGAUUAGAUACCCCGGUAGUCCUAGCAGUAAACGAUGGAUACUAGGUGUUGGUGGUAUUGACCCCACCAGUGCCGAAGCUAACGCAUUAAGUAUCCCGCCUGGGGAGUACGGCCGCAAGGCUAAAAACUCAAAGGAAUUGACGGGGGCCCGCACAAGCAGCGGAGCGUGUGGUUUAAUUCGACCAACGCGCAGAACCUUACCAGGGUUUGACAUGCAUACGACAGGGGCGGAAACGUUCUCUCCCUUCGGGGCGUAUGCACAGAUGCUGCAUGGCUGUCGUCAGCUCGUGCCGUGAGGUGUUGGGUUAAGUCCCGCAACGAGCGCAACCCUCGUCGCUAGUUGAAUUCUCUAGCGAGACCGCCGGUAGAAAACCGGAGGAAGGUGGGGAUGACGUCAAGUCAGCAUGGCUCUUACAUCCUGGGCUACACACACGCUACAAUGGCCGGUACAAUGGGCUGCCAAGGGGCGACCCGGAGCUAAUCCCAAAAAGCCGGUCUCAGUUCGGAUUGCAGGCUGCAACUCGCCUGCAUGAAGUCGGAGUUGCUAGUAACCGCAAGUCAGCACAUUGCGGUGAAUAUGUUCCCGGGCCUUGUACACACCGCCCGUCACGUCAUGAAAGCCGACAACACCUGAAGCCGGUGAGCUAACCGCAAGGAGGCAGCCGUCGAGGGUGGGGUUGGUGAUUGGGACGAAGUCGUAACAAGGUA
rnacentral:rRNA from 1 species